UCGGCGGGAUGGUACUGCAGGUCUGCAACAUCGGCGUCCGUGUACUGGUGCUGGUGAUGCUGCGAUGUCGCUCUGGUGGUGUUGUGGUUGAGGUGAUGCUGCUGCUGGUGGCAUGGUGAUGGUGCUCUGCUGCUGCUACUACCCCCUCGACCUUGACGCCGGCGGGACGGUGCCGCGGACGCAACCCCGGCGUCAACUUCUACUUCUAGUGCUGCAAUUGCAAUGUGAGCUAUAUCCCACUCCUCUCUUACUCUGUCUAUGGCCUUGUGUUAAUCCAGAUGGUGCCAGUGGUUCGGUUAUAAUCUUGCUGAUAUGUUGGUUAUGACAUUUCUGGUAUAUAUGAUAUAUCCCCUGAUAAGACAUGGAGUGUGGUUGGCCUAUGCAUAUGUGGUUUCAGAUUGUGCUAAUGAACUUGGGUUGGUCUGUUACUAGUAUUUAUAUCUCUGUUUGGAUGAAUAGAUCAUCCCCGACAUGUGUGUCUUGUUGUAAUAUCACUAUUACCAAAACUGAAUGCUUUUAUUCAGUAUUUCAGUGAACUUUGGGUAUUCAGUUAUUAUUCCGCUUAAUUCGUAUUGGGUUUACAUAUACAAGAAGCAAGUAUUGUUGCUUGCAUAUGCAUGAUUUAUUUGAUGGCUUGGCGGUGAGCUUACAUGCAGUGCUUAGUGUGGUUUUGCUGCUACUAUAGUACUACUUGGUUUGUAGCUGUCCUGGUUUAUCAAUUUGAUGAAUUGAACCUACUGAUCGUGCAGUGCUAAAGCUACUGAUCUCACUAAAAAUGUUCACGGAACUUUUAGGUCUAAGUUGGACAGUUAACUUGCUAUUAGCAUGCUGGGUGGGUUAUUUGCAUGCUCCACAUGCUUAAAUUAUACUUAUGUUCCUCGGAUUGGUAAUAUUAUGAUUCAUUUGGCUUUGCUACUUUAUCCAAUGAUCUAAGGAUCCCCUGUUCAUUUGCAAGUGUGGAAUAUCAACUAUUUAUAUGUAGUUGUGCAAAGUGUGUGUGUUUCCAGAUUCAUGGACCUAAUUACUUGGAUGGCUUUUACUCAGGGAUCUUGCUGCCCUCGCAGCAGGUCUCUCUCUUACUGACUAUUAAUUGAUAAGAACAGAUAUAUUCUUGAUUUCUUGGCCCCUUCCUGAGAUGCAAAGGCUGAUGAUUUUGUAGCUUAGUGUUGAUGUCUUUUCUUUCUUUACAUACGUGCCCAUGUACUAUCUCACUGGCAUGAUUAUCCUAUAGUGCCGCAGUUGAGUGAGCAUAAGGUGAUGACAUGUUGGUGUAAGAUAUAGUGCUAUAGGUGCUUAUGUAGAGUAGAGAAAUAGGCAUUGAUCUGGGCUAUAUGACCAGAUGAUGCAAAUGUCCAUCCCAAGCUUCUAAUGAUGCUUGAGUUGAUUUUUAAUGGAUAUACCUAUGCUUGCUUUAGCCGAUGAUGCAAAGGCUGAGGCUCAGAUUUGUAAUAAGAACAGAUACUAUGACAUAGCUCUUAUUUCUCUGUGAUGAUCAGGCAUAGCAUCUCUAUGCAGACUGAGAGAAUCACCUCUCACAAUUUAACUGAUGAUUUAUAGUUUGAGGUUUGCCUAUUUUAUUACUUGCAAAAUCUUUCCAUGUGCCAUAUGCUUUGGCUUAAUCCGCUCUGUGGUACCUCCUGGGAGUGUGCACAGAAGAAAUAUCCAUUUAGCAAGAUUGGUGCUGUUGGUAGAUUAUGUAGAGUGAUGUAUUAGGCGAAGAUCAUAACCAUGAUCAGAUGAUGUUAAAAUUUCCCAAACAACCCCAUAUGGACGCUUGUAAGAAUUUACAAGUGCAAAUAUGACCUGGGAUAGAUCCUGGUGAUCUAUACCGCUGAUGAAUUCAUAUGUUGUAGUUGGAUUUGGCUGUAUAGCAACCUGCUGCUAUAGAGAGGCUUGGUCUUCUGGAUUCUGAGCUUUCCUGCGUCUUGUGGCAUGCCUGCACCUCCUCGCUGCUUCUGCUUCCUCCUAAAAUCUAGCUGUUGAUUUUAGUGGUUUAUCUAGUGUGUUGUUCUAGUAGAUCAUGAGGUGUUCUUGCUGGUAUGUGAUAGAAAUGACUACUCCCAUGAGCUGCUACUGCGGCUGGCUGUGUUGGUGUGUUGGAAGAUUUGAUACUGUUGCUUAUAUACUGCUGGGCAGUACAUGUGGGCUUGACAGCACAUGGCUGCAUGUGGUGACUGUGCUGCUUGGUAGGUAACUUACUCUCCAUGUGCAAGUGAACAAGUUGUAUUUCUUCUCCUCCUUGUGCAAGCUACGGUUGGUGCUUGUAGAUAUCCAGUGUUGGCCUUUCUUUUGUGGCUGCCAAGUAGAUUAACACUGCUACCUAAUAUUGUUUAGUUGAACUUUAAAUUUAUGGCUUUCUUGUUAAUUACUUGCUGGCUGGAAUGACUAAUUAAGCUGGUGCUUAAUUAGGAAAGUGUUGGUUUAAAUAAGGUUAAUGAUGCUUUAGGGUCCUGUUGGUAAUCAAUACCAGCAGAGAACCAUUUUAAUUCUAAUGUAGCCUUUCUAAUUAGGAACUUGACUAAGUUGGAGGGAUUUAUUAGUUGCCUUUGUUGCCUGCAAUAUAAAUAUAUCAGUGUUGCCUAUUGUCCCUUCUCUAAAGCAAAAUGGAUCACUCAAUGUUGCUUUGUCCCUAUUGCCUACUUGUCCAAGAUGAUCCAAGAUAAUCCAUAAUCCUUUGUUGCCUUGAAUUGAUAUUAAUCCCUCUGGCCAUAGUUUGGAUAUUAGGACAAGUUCCUAAUAUCCAUGAGUUGAGUUCCAAAACUAAGAUGCCUUAUCUAAGAUGAUGGCAAACAUUUUAAUAAUAACACAAUUCUUUUCUUGGCUUUGUUGUUUUUCUUAUUGCAGGAAAAGAAGACGUUGGAGAAUUGUAGAAGAGCAAGAUUAGUUUAGGUUUUCUUUUUAUUAUCUUAUUUUGUAAUCUUUUAUUUGUUUUUGUAACUUGAAAUAAUAAUUCUGUAAAGGUUGUACAGUUCCAAUAGAUGGAUGCUAUGUUUAAUGUUUAGUUCUUGAUUGCACAUUCUUAUUAUAA